AGAUUUGGUUAUGAGAUCAAUUUACUUAUUUUUUCAACUGCAUAAUUUCUUGUCAUAGGUUUUGAAUUUCUUUCAUAGGCAUAGGAUUAAUAUUUCCAUAGUUGAUAUUGGUGAUGCAUGAAAUUUUUCCUCUAAGAGUGUUAACAAGUUCUUAAAAAUUUAUAAUAAUUACAAAUCUAUUAUCACUUCUACCAAGUAU
rnacentral:lncRNA from 1 species